AAUGAUUUUGUUCAUAAACAAUAGUUUGGCCAUCAGUUGAGUCUUUCUUUACAAUAUGUCAUUUUGUCAACCAAUCGCCUUAGUCAUUUUGACCAAAUGAUAUAUAUAUAUAUAU
rnacentral:sRNA from 1 species